GUGUGUGUCUCUGUCAGUAUGUCUGUCAGAAUGUGUCUCUGUAUCUGUAUGUUGUCCGUUUGUGUUUGUAUCUGUAUAUAGUCCGUGUGUAUAUGUAUGUGUCAGUGUUUGUAUCUGUAUAUCUGCAUGUGUGUCAGGUUGUGUAUCUGUGUGUCUGUAUGUGUGUCAGUGUGUGUGUCGGUGUAUCUAUAUGUAGUCAGUGUGUGUACCUUUGUAUCUGCAUGUAUGUCAGUGUUUGUAUUUGUGUAUCUGCAUGUGUGUCAGGUUGUGUAUCUGUGUGUCAGUGUAUCUAUAUGUAGUCUGUGUGUAUUUGUAUGUUCUUGUGUGUAUCUAUAUGCGGUCAGUGUGUAUCUGCAUGUGUGUCAGGUAGUGUAUUUGUGUAUAUCUAUAUGUAGUCAGGGGGCCCAAGUAAAUGCUUGCCCAGGGUCCAAUCAAAAUUAAAGACGGCUCUGUCCAUAUAUGGUGGGAAUGUCAACUCAUUGAAAAUUAUCCAUACAAAAAUUCAAACUUUACUCUAAAAAGUUUAUCUUUGAACCUAGAUCACUUUUACUACAAUUAAAUAUUCAAAAUGAAAAGGAUUGUUACACAUAUUCUAGUAGCAGCAGAGAUGCCGAUUGCCAGAAACUGGAAGCAGGCCUCAGCACCUUGCUGGGAGCAAGUGAAAAUUCAAAUUAUAUAUCAAAUUAAAAUGGAGAUGGGUAUAUGUAGGACAACAAAUGAUGAAUAUCUAAAAUGGCUGAGACAGAUUGAGAAAAAUUUAAGUCAGAUAUAUCUUCCCAUGACGUUAUAUGGUAAAAAUGGCAAUGAUAGAAGAAAGAGAUAAAUUUAUAUUUGUCUCUUUUUCUCUCAUCUUUCGCUUUCUUCCUCUCUUCCCCUUAGCAGAGAACCUUAAUACAUACUUCUUGUUGUUUUGUCUUGUUUGUCAUGUAUGAUGAUGUCCUAUUUGUUUUUUAUACUUACCAAAUGGAUGCUAGUAGACAAACAGUUUAAAAUGUUCUACAUGUUAUGAAAUAUGUGUAGAAAUGACUACAAUAAUAAAAUUUAAAAAA